rnacentral:sRNA from 1 species
UAUUAGCCCCGAUUGCAGCGGCAUCCUUUUUUGUUUUUUCAAAACAAAAAAGAUAUAGCGGAAAGCGGGACGGGUU